AGAGUUUGAUCCUGGACAGAUUGAACGCUGGCGGCAUGCCUUACACAUGCAAGUCGUUCGCGAAAGGGGGGCAACCCCCGAGUAGAGUGGCGAACGGGUGAGUAAUACAUCGGAACGUACCCAGUAGCGGGGGAUAACCUCUCGAAAGAGAGGCUAAUACCGCAUACGACCUACGGGUGAAAGAGGGGGAUCGCAAGACCUCUCACUAUUGGAGCGGCCGAUCUCGGAUUAGCUAGUUGGUGGGGUAACGGCCUACCAAGGCAACGAUCCGUAGCUGGUUGGUCUGAGAGGACGGCCAGCCACACUGGAACUGAGACACGGUCCAGACUCCUACGGGAGGCAGCAGUGGGGAAUUUUGGACAAUGGGCGAAAGCCUGAUCCAGCCAUGCCGCGUGAGUGAAGAAGGCCUUCGGGUUGUAAAGCUCUGGGGGCUGGGACGAAAAGGUCCGUGCUAACACCACGGAUCCAUGACGGUACCAGCAGUUGAAGCACCGGCUAACUACGUGGGAGCAGCCGCCCUAAUACGUAGGGUGCAGGCGUUAAUCGGAAUUACUGGGCGUAAAGCGUGCGCAGGCGGUUUGCUAAGACAGGUGUGAAAUCCCCGGGCUUAACCUGGGAACUGCGCUUGUAACUGGCAAGCUUGAGUGAGGCAGAGGGGGGUGGAAUUCCACGUGUAGCAGUGAAAUGCGUAGAGAUGCGGAGGAACACCGAUGGCGAAGGCAGCCUCCUGGGAUAACACUGACGCUCAGGCACGUUUGGGUGGGGAGCUAACAGGAUUAGAUACCCUGGUAGUCCACGCCCUAAACGAUGUCUACUAGUUGUCGGGGAUUAAUUUCCUUGGUAACGCAGCUAACGCGGGAAGUAGACCGCCUGGGGAGUACGGUCGCAGAUUAAAACUCAAGGAAUUGACGGGGACCCGCACAAGCGGUGGAUGAUGUGUUUAAUUCGAUGCAACGCGAAAACCUUACCUACGCUUGACAUGCCAGGAACCCUGCUGAAGGUGGGGGUGCUCGAAAGAGAGCCUGGACCCAGUGCUGCAUGCCUGUUCGUCAGCCUCGUGUCGUGAGAUGUUGGUUUAAGUCCCGCACCAAGCGCAACCUUAUCAUUAUGUUGCCUACCGCAAGGCACCUCUU
rnacentral:rRNA from 1 species